rnacentral:tRNA from 1 species
UAGAAUUUCAGCUUUGGGUGUUGAUGGUGGAGCUAGAGCUUCUUCCUUGACA